AGCAGCCGCGGUAAUUCCAGCUCCAAUAGCGUAUAUUAAAGUUGUUGCAGUUAAAAAGCUCGUAGUUGAAUUUCGGGAUCAAUUGAUCGGUCGUGCCUCUGGUACGCACUGGUUUUAUGGUUUCUCCCUUCUGACGAACCAGGAUGUCAUUAAUUUGGUGUCUUGGAGAAUCAGGACUGUUACUUUGAAAAAUUAGAGUGUUUAAAGCAGGCUAACGCUUGAAUACAUUAGCAUGGAAUAAUGAAAUAGGACGUUUGAUCCUAUUUUGUUGGUUUCUAGGAUCGACGUAAUGAUUAAUAGGGAUAGUUGGGGC
rnacentral:rRNA from 1 species